UACGGGGGGGGUAAGCGUUGUUCGGAAUUACUGGGCGUAAAGGGCUCGUAGGCGGCCAACUAAGUCAGACGUGAAAUUCCUCAGCUUAACUGGGGAACUGCGUCUGAUACUGGAUGGCUUGGAUUCGGGAGAGGAAUGCGGAAUUCCAGGUGUAGCGGUGAAAUGCGUAGAUAUCUGGAGGAACACCGGUGGCGAAGGCGGCAUUCUGGACCGAUAUUGACGCUGAGGAGCGAAAGCCAGGGGAGCAAACGGG
rnacentral:rRNA from 1 species